rnacentral:rRNA from 1 species
UACGUAGGGGGCAAGCGUUGUCCGGAAUUAUUGGGCGUAAAGAGCGUGUAGGCGGUCCGGUAAGUCGGCUGUGAAAGUCCAGGGCUCAACCCCGGGCUGCGGUCGAUACGGGCAGGCUCGAGUUCGGUAGGGGAGACUGGAAUUCCUGGUGUAGCGGUGAAAUGCGCAGAUAUCAGGAAGAACACCCGUGGCGAAGGCGGCUCUCUGGAACGCAACUGACGCUGAGACGCGAAAGCGUGGGGAGCAAACAGG